GCUUCCUUGGCUGAAUUGUAAACGUGCCUUCAAUCAGCCGUCUUCCUAGUUCAUGGGGGACCAGGGUUCGAUUCCCUGAGGAAGCG